GUAGGUGGCAAGCGGUUGUCCGGAAUUAUUGGGGCGUAAAGCGCGCGCAGGCGGUUCUUUAAGUCUGAUGUGAAAGCCCACGGGCUCAACCGUGGAGGGUCAUUGGAAACUGGAGAACUUGAGUACAGAAGAGGAAAGCGGAAUUCCACGUGUAGCGGUGAAAUGCGUAGAGAUGUGGAGGAACACCAGUGGCGAAGGCGGCUUUCUGGUCUGUAACUGACGCUGAGGCGCGAAAGCGUGGGGAGCAAACAGGAUUAGAUACCCUGGUAGUCCACGCCGUAAACGAUGAGUGCUAAGUGUUAGGGGGUUUCCGCCCCUUAGUGCUGCAGCUAACGCAUUAAGCACUCCGCCUGGGGAGUACGGCCGCAAAGGCUG
rnacentral:rRNA from 1 species